CUGGGAGGACCAUCUCCUAAGGCUAAAUACUCUCUAGUGACCGAUAGUGAACCAGUACCGUGAGGGAAAGGUGAAAAGCACCCCGGAAGGGGAGUGAAAUAGAACCUGAAACCGUGUGCUUACAAGUAGUCAGAGCCCGUUAAUGGGUGAUGGCGUGCCUUUUGUAGAAUGAACCGGCGAGUUACGAUUUGAUGCAAGGUUAAGCAGUAAAUGUGGAGCCGUAGCGAAAGCGAGUCUGAAUAGGGCGUUUAGUAUUUGGUCGUAGACCCGAAACCAGGUGAUCUACCCUUGGUCAGGUUGAAGUUCAGGUAACACUGAAUGGAGGACCGAACCGACUUACGUUGAAAAGUGAGCGGAUGAACUGAGGGUAGCGGAGAAAUUCCAAUCGAACCUGGAGAUAGCUGGUUCUCUCCGAAAUAGCUUUAGGGCUAGCCUCAAGUGAUGAUUAUUGGAGGUAGAGCACUGUUUGGACGAGGGGCCCCUCUCGGGUUACCGAAUUCAGACAAACUCCGAAUGCCAAUUAAUUUAACUUGGGAGUCAGAACAUGGGUGAUAAGGUCCGUGUUCGAAAGGGAAACAGCCCAGACCACCAGCUAAGGUCCCAAAAUAUAUGUUAAGUGGAAAAGGAUGUGGCGUUGCCCAGACAACUAGGAUGUUGGCUUAGAAGCAGCCAUCAUUUAAAGAGUGCGUAAUAGCUCACUAGUCGAGUGACACUGCGCCGAAAAUGUACCGGGGCUAAACAUAUUACCGAAGCUGUGGAUUGUCCUUUGGACAAUGGUAGGAGAGCGUUCUAAGGGCGUUGAAGCAUGAUCGUAAGGACAUGUGGAGCGCUUAG
rnacentral:rRNA from 1 species